rnacentral:misc_RNA from 1 species
GAUGAAGAACGUAGCAAAAUGCGAUAAGUAAUGUGAAUUGCAGAAUUCAGUGAAUCAUCGAAUCUUUGAACGCACAUUGCGCCCGCUGGUAUUCCGGCGGGCAUGCCUGUUCGAGCGUCAUUUCAACCCUCAAGCCCCCCGGGUCUGGUGUUGGGGAUCGGCUCUGCCUCACGGCGGUGCCGCCCCCGAAAUACAUUGGCGGUCUCGCUGCAGCCUCCAUUGCGUAGUAGCUAACACCUCGCAACUGGAACGCGGCGCGGCCAUGCCGUAAAACCCCAACUUCUGAAUGUUGACCUCGGAUCAGGUAGGAAUACCCGCUGAACUUAAGCAUAUCAAUAAGCGGAGGA